rnacentral:lncRNA from 1 species
GUUCAACCCGACUAGGAAUGAGUCAAGUUCAAAUUAAAACCGGAUGCGCAUUACGCUCCACUUUUUAUCCAAUUAGCAAAGUUCAGAAACUCUUAAGUGGUCCCGUUGGUGAGAAGUGAGUUGGUAGGACACAGCCAGACGGCCGUUGGAAACUACAUAGAGAAAGCCUGGGUAGAUCCACCAGAAGGAGCCUUUCAAAAUGAGGAAGAAGACAUUUAUUUACAUCGAAGGACACUCGUGAUUUGCUGACCCAGGCGGGUCACAGCAGCAGAUGUGCAGCAGUGCCAUCUGCGCAGGGUUCUCUUGUGUGUUUGUGCACAGACGGGCUCACGGACCGACAAGACCUUUAGGAAGACACCUACGAACAUCUUCAGAGCCGGCAGCCACGGGCAGGCCCACAGGCAUCACCCCGAAUCUCUUCCCAUCUUCCUUCAUCCGUGGAGCCCUCGGCAAGCCCUGUGUGGUGAAGAGCGCCUCCCCCGCUGACGUGUCCAGGCAGCUGACAGAGUGACUGCGACUGCGACUGCCAUUGUUGGCCUCAGCUCCUCGUUGUCCCCAGCUUCCAUACCCGCUGCCAUCACCAGGUCGCACACAGCCUACCUCAUGGCUCCCUUUCGUCAUGUGGGCCCCCCCAGCCUGUUGUUUCCCAAGUUGGCUGCCAGACAGCGCUUCAGAAAUGCUAAAUUUCUUUGCAGUGAGCACUCCCAGGGCCCAUCUUUUUUUUUUUUUUUUUUUUACAUUACUGUAUUCCUGAUAUUUAGCAUAGUAAGUAUCUCCUACAUCAUAGAUACUUAGAUGUUGACUGAAUAAAAAGGAGGACACAGGAGUUCUCUUGUGGUGCAGCAGGUUAAGGAUCCAGCACUGUCACUGCAGUGGCUUGGGUCGCUGCUGUAGCUUGGGUUCGGUCCCUGGCCCGGGAACUCCUACAUGCUACGGUCAUGGCCAAAAAACAGAGGACACGAAAGCAAAUUUUCUUCUUAAAAACAUGGCCAUUUCUAGUACACUUCCAAUUUAAAAUAAUUUUUGUUGGCCACACCUGUGGCAUGCGGAAGUUCCCGGGCCAAGGAUCGAACUCAUGCCACAGCAGUGACAAUCCUGAUCCUUAACUGCUAGGCCACCAGGGAACUCCAAAAUAAUUUACCUUGAUGCUUACACUUUAUUAAUGGAGUGUGGCUUCCCACCACCGCCAUGGAGCAGCUCUGAUAGAUUUGAGUGGUGGUGGGAACAGGUUCAUCCAGGGGACUCUCAUGGUAAAGGCGGUUAGGCCCAGAGAUUUGGGCCCUGUAGGAGAACUGAAAAAAUCCCUAAUCUUUAUGGAUAUAUGGAAAGAUUUGUCAGGGACAGUCCAAGUGCUUUCAAUAAAUCUGUCAGUGUUAUGUGUGUAUGUGUGUUUAGGAUUCGAAGAUGUAGCUAUGAGCUACAAACACGAAGGAGUUUAACAAAGCCGUCCCAUGUCCUAGGGACAAUUUUUCUCUUAUGUCUGCAAGCCAGUUGCUGGGUGGUUCCAUUUUUAUUGAGCCAGGCCAGUAUUUUUCUCUCCUAUGGAGGAGUCCCCUUUUUCAUGCUUUGGAACUGGAAUUUCAAAAUACAGAUAGUCAAAGGCAUGCUCGCUGUUGAGGUCUCCUAUAAAACACCUGAUUCGGUGAGCAAGUAUCAGCUCUGUCAAGUAUUCCUUUAAGAAAAGCUUUAUUGUACAUUUCACGUCCAUGUAAAAAUAGGGAUAGUGAUGGGACGUCACCCAGCAUCAGGAAUUAUCAGCUCAUAACCUGCCUUGUUUUGUCCACACUCUCCCCCACAUCUCCCACCUCCCAUGUUGUUUGGAGCAAAUCUGAUAGAUCAUUUAAUCUAUGAACAGGUCAGUAUGUAUAUCUAAAAGAUAAAGAAACGUUUUAAAAAGCAACCAUACCAUUAUCACACCUCAAAACUUAGUAAGUCAUUUUAAUGUCUGUAUUCCUAAGAGGUCUUUUGGGCCAAGGAUGAAACCUGUGCCACAGCAGUGACCCCAGCCACAGUGGUGACAACACUGGAUUCCCACCCGCUUGGCCACCGGGGAACUCCACAGAAUUCAUUUUUAACACCGUGGUGUCAUGAGAGAAACCAGGGCUCCUGGGAGAAAUGACUGAUUGCAGGGCGAGGACAGGGAAUAUACAGCUGGAGUCUGGCGCGUCUUCGUAUCAGAAGGAUGCGCUCCACAAAAGCACAGCGAUGAGAUAGAUCAGAGGGACGCAGGAGCCAAUGGAAAGCGCCUCCAGUGGCCACAUCUGGAAAGGCCUGAGCAACAGAAUGAAGUAGUAGUGGAUGAUAACCCAGCGCCUCAAGGAAGUAUCCCUGAGUCCAUAGCGCUGGAAAGCGGUGACUGGAGAGGGACACAAACGAGGGAGGACAGACGAACUGUGCAGACGAAUCCCGAAUCAGGUGGACACUCAGCCUCCAGGGAGCGGAGCCUCACUCCCCAGCCCUUCCGUGUGUGCUGUGCAGAGAGGUAUAUGCUUCCUUCCAAAAGAGGACAGCGUGGAAAGGGCCAAAGGAGGAACUGGACAGUGACCAACACGGCCUCAGCCAGGGGGUCAGUGUCAGCGUCAGCAACGAGAAGUCAUGGUGACAGUAUGUGCCCUUGAUAUGUGACGAGAAUGGCCCCUUAUCCCUGUGGUUUUCUUCCCCCAAACCCGUGACCCUAGUUUCAUCAUGAGGAAAAUCAGCAAACAAAUGCCAGCUGAAGAACAUUCUGCAAAACACCUGACCAGCACGCCUCAGAACUGCCCAGGUCAUCAAAAACAAGGCAAGUCUGAGAAACCAUCACAGCCGAGAGGAGCCCAAGGAGACCUGAUGACUGAACAUAAUAGGGUUUCUUGGAUGGGAUCCUGGAACAGAAAAAGGUGACUAGUAAGGAAGUGUGAAUCCAUUGUAGGCUUUCGUUGAUCAUAAUGGAUCAAUACGGAUUCAUUAGAUGUGGCAAAUGUGCCACAAUACAAGCUGCUAAUGACCGGGAAGAUGGCUGUGGGUACUCUCUUGACUCUCUUAGCAAUUUUUCUAUACAUUGCAGCUGUUCUAGAAUGAAACGUUUAUUAAAAAGUUCAUUAUAUCC